UGGGGAAUAUUGCACAAUGGGCGAAAGCCUGACGCAGCGACGCCGCGUGAGGGAUGACGGCCUUCGGGUUGUAAACCUCUUUCAGCAGGGACGAAGCGCAAGUGACGGUAUCUGCAGAAGAAGCACCGGCUAACUACGUGCCAGCAGCCGCGGUAAUACGUAGGGUGCAAGCGUUGUCCGGAAUUACUGGGCGUAAAGAGUUCGUAGGCGGUUUGUCGCGUCGUUUGUGAAAACCAGCAGCUCAACUGCUGGAUUGCAGGCGAUACGGGCAGGCUUGAGUACUGCAGGGGAGACUGGAAUUCCUGGUGUAGCGGUGAAAUGCGCAGAUAUCAGGAGGAACACCGGUGGCGAAGGCGGGUCUCUGGGCAGUAACUGACGCUGAGGGACGAAAGCGUGGGUAGCGAACAGG
rnacentral:rRNA from 1 species